rnacentral:rRNA from 1 species
CAGUAGCCGCAGGAAUACGUAGGUGGCAAGCGUUGUCCGGAAUUAUUGGGCGUAAAGGGCUCGCAGGCGGUUUCUUAAGUCUGAUGUGAAAGCCCCCGGCUCAACCGGGGAGGGUCAUUGGAAACUGGGAAACUUGAGUGCAGAAGAGGAGAGUGGAAUUCCACGUGUAGCGGUGAAAUGCGUAGAGAUGUGGAGGAACACCAGUGGCGAAGGCGACUCUCUGGUCUGUAACUGACGCUGAGGAGCGAAAGCGUGGGGAGCGAACAGGAUUAGAUACCCGGGUAGUCCCUGUCUCUUAUAC